GGCCCUUUAGCUCAGUGGUUAGAGCAGGCGACUCAUAAUCGCUUGGUCGUUGGUUCAAACCCAACAGUGGCCACCA
rnacentral:tRNA from 1 species